AUUCAAGGCAGUCUCCAAAUUCUAAUGACAGAGGUCUGAGCCCGUACAGAUCCAGUCCCCUGAACUAGGCUUAGCCAUAUCACCAUGUUGCGGGAAGCCUGUCAAGAAAGAUUGUAUCCACCACCAUUAUGACUCAGAAGAUUUUUUUUACCAUGUUCCUAUUUUUUUUUUACCUUUUGUGGAUCCAGAGAAACCCCUUGAAGAGAAUUUGGAACUCUGACUCUAGAACCCUAGGAAGAAUGCCAAUGGGACUGAGCAGUCCAUCCUGAUGUGUGGGAAGUUAAAUCUCCAAGAGAGACUACGCCAUUUAUAAAUGGUCUCGGAAAAGCACAAGAUGUUUGGUAUGAAAUAAUAAAUCAGUGGAAUUUCAGUGGAAAUCAGAACCUUUACAACCAUCUAGCUGCAGUGUGUACAAAAAUUUGAGAUAAGGAUGUAGUUGUGGUAUAUGAUAUUGAACUAAGAUAGGAAGAACAUUUCUGAUAAGAGUUAUAUCUAUAUUAGAAUAAUCAUUUCUUAAUACCUCUUUUGAAGUUCAUAUUAUCUACUGGCCAACUGCUCAGCAUGAUAAUGUGACUUUUAAGUUCCAAUUGUUUUUUUAAUUGGACCAUAUGGAUUCCAGACAGCCUGACUAAUCUA